GACGAACGCUGGCGGCGUGCUUAACACAUGCAAGUCGAACGGAAAGGCCCUGCUUUUGUGGGGUGCUCGAUUGGCGAACGGGUGUGUAACACGUGAGUAACCUGCCCUUGACUUUGGGAUAACUUCAGGAAACUGGGGCUAAUACCGGAUAGGAUCUCUUGCUGCAUGGUGGGGGUUGGAAAGUUUCGGCGGUUGGGGAUGGACUCGCGGCUUAUCAGCUUGUUGGUGGGGUAGUGGCUUACCAAGGCUUUGACGGGUAGCCGGCCUGAGAGGGUGACCGGCCACAUUGGGACUGAGGUACGGCCCAGACUCCUACGGGAGGCAGCAGUGGAGAAUAUUACACAAUGAGCGGAAGCCUGAUGCAGCAGCGCCGCGUGCGGGAUGACGGCCUUCGGGUUGUAAACCGCUUUCGCCUGUGACGAAGCGUGAGUGACGGUAAUGGGUAAAGAAGCACCGGCUAACUACGUG
rnacentral:rRNA from 1 species